rnacentral:misc_RNA from 1 species
CUCCUCGACCCGCUGCGCUA